CCGUAGCAUUACUUGCGGAGUGAUCCGUAGUUUGCGUACUCGAUCCGGUUGAGCUCGAGCUUUUAUACGGUCAUUGUUGUGCAAGCAACGAUCCAUAGGCAACACGAUCGAGUACAGCGCCUUGAUGGUGAUGCCUCCUCGCGGCGUGCCUGCCAACGCACGGGAAACGCUGGCGUUUGCUUCUGCUGCUGGACUUCGUCGGCUUGUUUGUGAGCCCCGAGAGAGUCGACUCGUACGGUGGAUAUACAAACGAGAGCAGAUGGAGCAGCGUCGGACAUGCAGAAGGCUGCCGACUCUAUCAAAUCAUUCUCUGAAGGCGCAAAGCCAUCAGAGUCGCGGUGGAGAAUCGUGACGGACGCACAUGCCGCACCGGAAAGAACGCCGGUCCUCUUCGCUAUGUCCACCGGGGGGUGCCAUCUCUCACGUGCACCCAUGCACGUCAACUUUUAUUUUGUUUAUAUAUACAAAUACAUAAUUUUGGAUGAAUUGUCGAAAGAAUUUAUUUUAUGUUUUUUUUGCUUCUUUUCAUAAUUUCUAAAGGGUGUUUCUCAUUUUACUGUAA